UUUACGGAUUGACUCUACUGACUCGUUUGUUAACUAGCGAAUUACUAAAACUUCCGUCCAACUACUCCAGUCUGUUUAUAUGAUUUUAGUUUCAACCGAUAUUCAGUGUCAGAAUAAGAAUCCGUUGUUACUGCCAUUUCGUCAAUAAUUGUUUGUUAUAUUAACGUGUUUCUCCUCGCAGUGAAACUGUCGUGACGUUUACGUCAAUUUCUAAAACUACAGUUUGCCUCAGCUGCAUUAAAACAAAAUCCUGCAGGGCUGUUCCUACAACUUCCUAAAACUCAACAAACCGACAUAAACGCCCAGUAACUGAUCCUCCAUGCUGCGGUGCUGACGUCACCUGUGACACCAGUCUGAUGAUUCGUUCACCUCUACAUUCUGUGGUUAUGGCUAUGGUCAUAGUUUUAAGAGAACAAAUGUUCCCGGCGCCCCCUGCUGACAGACUUGAGCACUCAUAAGCGAUGAAUCGUCUGUGACUUCUGUCACUCGUAGCAGCGAGACGCUCUCACUUGGAAGGAACCGCCUUUUUGGCAACGCUCGUUCUCCUGCCUCCUCCUCCUGCUGCUCCUCCUCCUCCUCCAUGCCAAAGAUGGACUCCACCUGGGUGGAGCUGACCGUCCUCGGACCCACACCCGCCAGUCGGACCAGUUCCUGUGAGUCCAGGUUCAUGGUGUAAACGCCCCUGAACUGGCAGCUGGAGUCACGGAAAAGGAUGAGAAAGUGGUUGGCGG